UCAGGUGAAAGUCGGCCUCUUCAUGAAAGCUGACGUACAGGGAUGGGCCUGCGUCCUAUCAGCUAGUUGGUGGGGUAACGGCCCACCAAGGCGACGACGGGUAGCUGGUCUGAGAGGAUGAUCAGCCACACUGGCACUGGAACACGGGCCAGACUCCUACGGGAGGCAGCAGUGAGGAAUUUUGCGCAAUGGCCGCAAGGCUGGCAACGCCGCGUGGGUGAAGAAGGCCUUCGGGUCGUAAAGCCCUGGGGAAGAAAGGCUUGGUUGGAAAUACUGAUUGAGUUUGACGGUACCACCAGAGGAAAGCACCGGCUAACUCCGUGCCCAGCAGCCCGCGGUAAUACGGAGGGUGCAAGCGUUAUUCGGGAAUUAUUGGGCGUAAAGCGC
rnacentral:rRNA from 1 species